GAUGAACGCUAGCGAUAGGCUUAACACAUGCAAGUCGAGGGGCAGCACAAGGUAGCUUGCUAUCUGGGUGGCGACCGGCGCACGGGUGCGUAACGCGUAUGCAACUUGCCCUAUACAGGAGGAUAACCCGUCGAAAGAUGGACUAAUACUGCGUAUGCUCACAACUUGGCAUCAAGUGGUGAGGAAAGAAAUUCGGUAUAGGAUAGGCAUGCGUCCCAUUAGCUUGUUGGUGAGGUAACGGCUCACCAAGGCAACGAUGGGUAGGGGAACUGAGAGGUUUAUCCCCCACACUGGUACUGAGACACGGACCAGACUCCUACGGGAGGCAGCAGUGAGGAAUAUUGGUCAAUGGGCGCGAGCCUGAACCAGCCAAGUCGCGUGAAGGAUGACUGUCUUAUGGAUUGUAAACUUCUUUUAUACGGGAAUAACAAGAGUCACGUGUGACUCCCUGCAUGUACCGUAUGAAUAAGCAUCGGCUAACUCCGUG
rnacentral:rRNA from 1 species